CUUUGGUAGCUAGAGAAYCCUUAGACCCUUUAAGUCAGUGUGGAAAAUCUCUAGCAGUGGCGCCCGRACAGGGACUUGAAAGCGAAAAGAGAACCAGAG
rfam:Human immunodeficiency virus type 1 (clone 1B-11) long terminal repeat (LTR).